rnacentral:lncRNA from 1 species
AUGGCUGCGACCAGUCUAGUGGGUAUUUGUAGAAGAGCCCCAGCGUUCCUGAAGGCUGCUUGCUCCCUAGUAAAUCCCAAGGACCCUUCUCACUCAGGUCACAGGUCUUCUCUUAGUUUGUUGCAUAAGAACACACCACAUGUCACAUCUUUUCUCCAGUGUAAAUUACUUCAUACCACACUGCCAAGGAGAGGACUAGCAGAAUUUUUUGAUGAUCCAAAGAAUGGGGGAGGAGGGAGAAAAAGUCAAAUCUGGAGCUUUAUGGACCUGCCAGCAGCUGAGAAACAAAAGCAAUGAAAACUUACAGAAGCUUUGGUAUGCGCUUCUGAAGGAAAGAACCAUGCUUCUAACUCUAGAACAGGAGGCCACGUGAUGAGAUUGCCAAUGCCAAGUCCAGAGUGGUUAGAAAAGGUUGUUGAUUCCAUGGAUGCCUUAGAUAAAGUUGUCUAGGAGAGGGAAGAUGCUUUAGGCUUCUUCAGAUUGGUCAAGAAAAACCAAGACCUGAUGCUUGGAAAAGCAUCUUUGGACGAAUCGUCUGGCACAAAUUCAAGCACUGGCCUAUACUUUGGUGCCUAAAUAAAAGAUACAACAGGAGGCGGUUCUUCGCAGUGCCUUAUGUGGAUCGAUUUAUCAGACUAAGCAUUGAGAAACACACCCGUAUUGAAGCAAGAAAGGGAAGUUUACAGAAAAAGAAAGAAAGAAUUCUCCAGGAAAAAGUUCCCACAUCUCUCUCAAGACUAGAAAUCAAGUACCGUC